CGCAUCGAUGAAGAACGCAGCGAAAUGCGAUAAGUAAUGUGAAUUGCAGAAUUCAGUGAAUCAUCGAAUCUUUGAACGCACCUUGCGCUCCUUGGUAUUCCGAGGAGCAUGCCUGUUUGAGUGUCAUUA
rnacentral:rRNA from 1 species